rnacentral:rRNA from 1 species
UGCCAGACUCCUACGGGAGGCAGCAGUGGGGAAUAUUGCACAAUGGGGGAAACCCUGAUGCAGCGACGCCGCGUGAGCGAUGAAGUAUUUCGGUAUGUAAAGCUCUAUCAGCAGGGAAGAAAAUGACGGUACCUGACUAAGAAGCCCCGGCUAACUACGUGCCAGCAGCCGCGGUAAUACGUAGGGGGCAAGCGUUAUCCGGAUUUACUGGGUGUAAAGGGAGCGUAGACGGCUGUGCAAGCCAGAUGUGAAAGCCCGGGGCUCAACCCCGGGACUGCAUUUGGAACUGUGUGGCUGGAGUGUCGGAGAGGCAGGCGGAAUUCCUAGUGUAGUGGUGAAAUGCGUAGAUAUUAGGAGGAACACCAGUGGCGAAGGCGGCCUGCUGGACGAUGACUGACGUUGAGGCUCGAAAGCGUGGGGAGCAAACAGGAUUAGAUACCCCGGUA